rnacentral:rRNA from 1 species
AACCCUUGCGGGGUGAGUGGCGCACGGGAUCGUAACGCGUGGGGAACCUGCCCUUAGGUUUGGAAUAACAGUGAGAAAAUCGCUGCUAAUACCAAAUAAUGUCUCGGAACCAAAGGAUUUAUCGCUUUGAUGGGCCCGCGUUGGAUUAGCUAGUUGGUGGGGUAAAGGCUCACCAAGGCGACGAUCCAUAGCUGGUCUUAAAGGAUGAUCAGCCACACUGGGACUGAACACGACCCAUACUCCUACGGGAGGCAGCANGU